UUUAUUAGGCAAGUCAAAAAAAUUAUAAUUUAAUUUUUUUUGUUUAUCAAUAUAGGGCAAAUUUUUAAUUUACAUAUCCAAUCCCUCCGCUUUCACCACAGACAUCCAUUUUUUUUUCAAAAAUUAUUUUAUCAAAAUUUGUCGCACCGUGAAACUUUUGCCAAAUUAGGGAAACAAAAUCGAACUCCAUAAAUAAAAUUUAAGACACAUCAAACAUAAAUUUUAUUUUUGCGUUAGAAAAUUGAAAAUGCCGAUAAAAUUAAAAGUUAAAUUAAAUUAAUUGAUACUUAAAUUUAUUUAAUUUAUUUGUCAUAUAAUUUAUCGCUUAAU
rnacentral:lncRNA from 1 species